rnacentral:rRNA from 1 species
GUAGUCAUAUGCUUGUCUCAAAGAUUAAGCCAUGCAUGUCUAAGUAUAAGUAUUUAUACAGCGAAACUGCGAAUGGCUCAUUAAAUCAGUUAUAGUUUAUUUGAUUGUACCUUUUACUACUUGGAUAACCGUAGUAAUUCUAGAGCUAAUACAUGCUAAAUGUCCCGACUUCGGAAGGGAUGCAUUUAUUAGAUACAAAAACCAAUGUGAAUUGCAACUUUUGUUGUAGUUCGCCAUUUGGUGAUUCAUGAUAACUUUGCGAAUCGCAUUUGCUUCGUGCUGGCGAUUUUUCAUUCAAAUUUCUGCCCUAUCAACUUUCGAUGGUAGUGUAGUGGACUACCAUGGUGAUAACGGGUAACGGGGAAUUAGGGUUCGAUUCCGGAGAGGGUGCCUUAAAAAUGGCAACCACUUCCAAGGAAGGCAGCAGGCGCGCAAAUUACCCAAUCGUAAUACACGGAGGUAGUGACAAUAAAUAACAAUACAGGUCCCGACAAGGGACUUGUAAUUGGAAUGAGUACAAUUUAAACCCCUUAACAAGGAACAAUUGGAGGACAAGUCUGGUGCCAGCACCCGCGGUAAUUCCAGCUCCAAUAGCGUAUAUUAAAGUUGUUGCAGUUAAAAAGCUCGUAGUUGGAUUUUGGAAGUUCUUGGAUGUCUGAAUUUGAUUGGGUCUUUUUUAAAGACUUGGUUUCUUUUGGCUCCAACGUCUAUUGGGCUCAAUAUUGAUUCUUUGAGGGUUGGUUUACUCCAAUUUUUGAGGGAUUGGUAUCCGAUAGAAUGUGAACCGGUCUGCUUUGGUCAUUUUUUUGAUCAUUGUGUGUACUGUUCGCAUACUUCUUCUUUUGGGUCAGUCUAAGUCUGCUCUUAAGUGAGUGGAUUUAUUGACUCCCAAUCGUUUACUUUGAAAAAAUUAGAGUGUUUAAAGCAGGCGUUUUUUUGCCUUGAAUAAAUUAGCAUGGGAUAACAAAACAUGACAGGGGACACGUUUUGUUGGUUUAAAAAUUGGUGAGAGAAAUUUUAUUUCUCUCAUCAAUCGAGUCUCAGGUAAUGAUUAAUAGGAAUUGUUGGGGACAUUUAUAUUCCAUGGCUAGAGGUGAAAUUCUUGGAUUCAUGGAAGAUAAACUAAUGCGAAAGCAUCUGUCAAGGAUGUUUUCAUUAAUCAAGAACGAAAGUUAGGGGAUCGAAGACGAUCAGAUACCGUCGUAGUCUUAAUUAUAAACUAUGCCGACCAGGGAUUGGGAGACGU